rnacentral:tRNA from 1 species
GAGGGUAUAGCACAGUGAUAGAGUGCAUGCUUAGCAGGCAUGAGGUUCUGGGUUCAGUUCCCCAGUACCUCCA